rnacentral:lncRNA from 1 species
UGAAACCAUUUGACCAUGUUAUAUUUUAAUUUGCAGAGACAAAAAUGACAAGCAAUUUAUUUACAUAAAACUGUACAAAAGCAAAUUAAAUUAUGUAAAGUAUUUCAUAAAUAGUUGGACGAGUGUUUAAUACAUUUCGCCAUGUUUAGCAUAGUUGCGUGCAUAGUGACUCAUAAUAAACGAUGAUAAAUUGUUCUCUGCUUCACUAUCAACAUCCAAGUAGCAGAACAAUAGUCAAUGAUUAACAUUACAAACGGAUCGUACCACACUGAAUGCAAGUGCUUUAAAAUGUAGAAAAAAUCACCUGAAAGUAAACCCUAGGUAGCUGAAAAAAUGAUGCCUUCCUCCAGAUGUUAUGCAUACCUCUGCCCAGGUCAAAACUAACAAGCUUUAGGUAUUCUUGAUCAUCUUAAUUCUUCCUUUUUUUUUCUCUUAAGGACACACUGUGUAUUUAUUACUAAUACAAUAUAUCUAAAACUACUGAGGUCUUCAGAUUUCACAUGCCUGUUUUAGGAUAGCUGUUUGAUUCUUGGCAGUUUCUUCUGAUCUCUGUGUUGUAUUUUCUAUAAGACAGCUUCCUAGGGUAGCCUUUCAGCCAGACAUCUUCAGUACCAUCUUAGUUUUCUUCCCAUAAAAAUAAUGCCUCUCUUGUUUUCUGAAACUCAGGCAGCAGGCCAGUCAGAAACCAUAAUGAUAUCUAGAGGUUCAGAAUGAGCGUUAGAUUUAGACUGAAGCUACAGACAUUUUAAUACACAUAAAUUCAUAUAGUUACUCAAUUUAUAAAUGUGUCCUAAUGUAUAAUGCAUGCAAAAUUCACUUGAGCUUCUUGUGUACAGAAAACAAAUAUGGUUUAUAUACUGCACAACCAAAAUGAAACAGCAGCUAAAAGAAACAUAACAACAGAAAGAAGAAUAGAAAUUAUAAAUCAAUAUUUUACCUUGCAAAAUGGACUGACUUCACCCCUGAUAAUAUCUCUCUGUGUUAUUGUUACAAUAAAUUCUUUAGCCUUCUAAGCAGCCCAUAUUAAUUUUGCUUUAUGAAUGAAUGAUAUUUAAGACUGGUCCAUUAUCUGAGUUUGUCAGAAGGCAAAUUUUUAAUAUAUUAUUUAUUAUUUUCAGAAAAUAAACAUGGAUAAAUAUACAGGAUCAAAAAAGUUGGGAAUAGCCCAUUUCCCCUCAUUGUCCAAACCCAACAACCGUUUUUUAACCAUAACAACAGGUAUAAAGGCACAGUUGCUUAUUUUGCAUUCACUCAUUUAUUAUUUUUUUGUUUCUUUUUAUUGAUUUUUUUCAAAAGCACUCUAUAUAUGGAGUGGCACCAGAUUUAACCUAUUCAAAAUAAAAGUCAUACAAACACAAAAUAUAUUUCUGUGUCAUGCCAGCUCAUUAUAAUAAACAUGUUAUGAUAGCUAAUUCUACUAGAAUUACUGCGAAUACUUACAGUACACUGAAUUUUAUUCUUUCACACCCAUUUUAGUUCUAAAGAGGCUCACGAGUUAAAUGACAAUGACAUGGCUGUCUUGAAUGUGGUGCAAACGUCAUUGGGGAAAAUGGAUCCAAUUAAUCCAAAGGUCCCAUAUGACCCGUAUUAGCUUUAUAGACAUCAGAAGUAUUUUAAGAUAGAGUGAAAUGAGCUAUCUAAUGUUUUAAGUGUCUCAUGAAAGAAAGAAAAAAAGUAUUAAAAAAAUUAUGCUGAACAUCUGUGUUAUGCAAUUGAAUAUUUCCUUUGUAACGUGCAAGAAAAAAUAUGUAUACAUUUCAUAAGUAUCUUUAGAAGUAUUUUGUCUUAAUAGGUACUUACAGAUUAUACAAGGCAGAACUGCUUUAAUGCAGUUUCCUAACAAAUUACUAGAAUUGCAUCUUUCCAUAAUGUAAAUAAUAAUCAAACAUAAGCAUGUUCAAUUAUUGAUUGAUAUUUUAGUCCAACAUUUCUGUUUCUUCAAUUACAUAUCUUCUUUCAUCCUAACUAUUAUACAUAAACUAACAAUAAAUGAAAACUCCACUGAAGAAAGAGCAUAAGGAAAUGACCCCGAAAGAGUACCCCACCAAACAGAGAAGUGGUUUUCAAAGAUAAGCAUUUUGAUGACCUAUAGUGAAUUAACAACCUAUAUUCCAGGUUGCGUCAUUUUGUAGUCUAAGAAAUAUUGCAAAGCAUGAAACUACCCAAAGCUACAUUGUUUCUACAGUUCACUAGAGAGCCAUAAAGGCUAUGCCUUAACCAGGUUACAAACAUUCAGUGAUGGGAGCAUUUGCUCUCUUCACCUGUUAUCCCUAGUCUGUCCCUGGAUUGUCACUUUUUCUGAAUGUCUCAGCUUAGUUUCCAAUUGCAUUAAAAAUAAUCCUCUGCAGAGGAAGUGACUCAAAAUCUGCAUAUUCUGUUUCUUUAUAUUUCAUUGAAAAACCUGCAUAUUUUCCAACUUUGAGAUGUAUAUACCAUGAGACAUGUCACUGCCCAGAACUCAUUUCUUUCAUGUUCAGAUUGAAUUGGUUUUAAAAGAUAUAUUACUUAACGUUCAUAUCAUAUUAGUGACAAAGUCAAUUAGCUUGUUGCCUUGUUUCAAAGUUGUGAGUCUUGAAAUAGUGCCAUAUCGCACAGGAUUCAAAAUUAACGCACUUUUGUUACAUGGGAGUGCACACUGAACAUGUAAAAAUGCACUUGGUAAUUUGAAAUGUGGAUAUUAAGACAAGAAGCAUAACCUGGAUUCUAAAAUGGUAAUAGUGGACUUAAAGGCUGUAUGCCAAUGCAUCUUUCUUUCCCUACCUAACCACAAACACGAUUUUAAAAAGUAGAAUCUUCCCUGACUAUAUAUAUAUAUAUAUAUUUUUUUUUUUUUUUUCCUGUUUUAGGGCCUCAUGUGUGGCAUAUGGAAGUUCCCAGGCUAUGGGUCACAUCGGAAAUACAGCUGCCAGCCUACACCACAGCCACAACAACAUGGGAUCCCAGCCUCGUCUGUGACCUAUACCACAGUUAAUGGCAACACUGGAUCCUUAACCCACUGAGCGAGGCCAAGGAUCAAACCUGCAUCCUCAUGGAUACUAGUCGUGUUUGUUACCACUGAGGCACAACAGAAACUCCCCAGAUAAUAUUUUGAAAUUAAAUGUUAACCUUAACAAAUUGCCAAUAUAAUACAAAAAGUAUGUCUCAUAUACUUUUUAUUUUCUGAGCUCUCAAAGAAAAUCUAUUUUAAAAGAAAAGGAUUGUUUUCCGGGUAUAGAGAAAAU